UUCAGACCAAUGGGAGAGCGUGUCACCCAGCUCCGUUUCACUGACUGGGGCACCGCCGAAGGCGCAACACCCGCAACCGCUCAGGCUCAAGGACCAUUGGCGCAGG
rnacentral:ncRNA from 2 species